CGCCGUCCCUCACGGACUUUUGUGCAAUUCUAUGGUACCUGUUAGUGUCUAGAAUUUACAGGGUUUGUGUUACGAGCAGUGACCCUCAGUCACUCACCGGUUUUCUUCCGGCACCAGGCUCUGUACACCUCUUUCAUGGAAUUUCGCUCUAGGACUCCGCCGUCCCUCAUGGAUUUUUGUGCAAUUCUAUGGUACCUGUUAGUGUCUAGAAUUUACAGGGUUUGUGUUACGAGCAGUGACCCUCAGUCACUCGCCGUUUUUCUUCCGGUACAAACAACAAAGCUGCUCUGUUUCAUACAAUGGAGCUUUUCAAGUUCAGAGUUAAGAAGCUACUGGAUUGAAGUUAACCACCAACUCGAUUUCCUGUUGGAAUAAAUACAGUGAACCUGAAAGUGUCUGCCGUGAUGUCAAUCUACUGGACCCGAGACGAACAAAGAAGGGUUCCAAAAAGACUCCUGUGAAAAAGAAAUGUAUUUCUAAAUAAACCCUUUUCAGCCAGA